CCUACGGGUGGCAGCAGUGGGGGAUAUUGCACAAUGGGGGGAACCCUGAUGCAGCGACGCCGCGUGGGUGAAGAAGCGCCUCGGCGCGUAAAGCCCUGUCAGCAGGGAAGAAAAUGACGGUACCUGACUAAGAAGCCCCGGCCAACUACGUGCCAGCAGCCGCGGUAAUACGUAGGGGGCAAGGGUUAUCCGGAUUUACUGGGGGGAAAGGGAGCGUAGACGGCAGCGCAAGUCUGAAGUGAAAUGCCGGGGCCCAACCCCGGAACUGCUUUGGAAACUGUGCAGCUGGAGUGCAGGAGAGGUAAGCGGAAUUCCUAGUGUAGCGGUGAAAUGCGUAGAUAUUAGGAGGAACACCAGUGGCGAAGGCGGCUUACUGGACUGUAACUGACGUUGAGGCUCGAAAGCGUGGGGAGCAAACAGGAUUAGAUACCCCAGUAGUC
rnacentral:rRNA from 1 species